UAUACAAUAGAUAUUUAUUAUUAUUAAAUAAAAGAUGUUUACUAGAUAAUUAAUUAAAUUAUAAGAUUUUUAUGAGGUAAACAAAUUAAAUGGAGACAAGUGUAAAACAUAUAAUUGACCAAUUGUAAUAUAAGCAUUUGUUAUUUAAUAAAUUUUUAUAAUAAUUAUUAUUAUAAACUAAUAUAUAUAUAUAUAUAAGUCAUAAAGAAACAAAAGAAAAAAGAAAUAGUUACAGAGAACCAUACGGAAAUAAGAAGAAAGAAAGAAGAAAGAAAAGAAAAAGGAGAAACUAAGGAUUAAAAGCUUGGAGUUUAAUUGCUAGCAAAGAACCCGAGGCAUCGAUACCGAAAGGAAAUAAAAAAGUCGUCGAGGAGUAAUCGAACAAAUCCAGGUCAGUAGGAGUCAAAAUCUGGUCCAGCAUCCGAACCAAUCCCGAUCUCAGCAACCUUGGGGAUGUAUAUUUUAUUUUGGUAUAUGUGGCAUGUACCUAGGUUGUUUUUUGAGUUAAUGUGGUUUUGGAUUGUAAGGAUAAUAUGUGAUGAUUUAAUUUGGUAAAUGAAAGAUUAAAUAUUUGAAAUGGUAUAUA